GGAGUUUGGACCGUGUCUCAGUUCCAAUGUGGGGGACCUUCCUCUCAGAACCCCUACUGAUCGUCGCCUUGGUGGGCCGUUGCCCCGCCAACUAGCUAAUCGGACGCAAGCUCAUCCCCUGUCGAUAAAUCUUUUGUCAACGCUCCAUGAGGAGCGCCACGAUAUCCGGUAUUACCCGCGCGUUGGCACGGCUAUUCCCGAACAGGGGGCAGAUUGCUUACGCGUUACUCACCCGUUCGCCGCUAUGCAUUGCUGCACCGCUCGACUUGCAUGUAUAAGACACGCCACCAGCGUUCGUU
rnacentral:rRNA from 1 species